rnacentral:lncRNA from 1 species
UAAUGGAAAGCAGUAAGCCACUUGGAGGUCACUUCAUCUUGUGAAAGUUGAGCAUUCAUGUAGUGUACAGAGCCAGGGCACCAUUUUUAUGAUUAAACUUAUAUUCCCAUAUACUUCAAACAAUGGCAGAUGGUAGACAGAGCAGUGAGAUUAGGUACAUAUGGUAAACAUGGGGGUGGGGGGAGGUAUGGGACAGACAAAGCAAAGGAUCAUAGACUCUGACGGUCAAAUCAGAAUGUAAAAGAUCAAUAAAAUGUUCAUAGAAAUUGGCCCAGGAAAUACCAGGGGUCAUCUGUCAGGUCUGUUUAUUGCAGCAUUCCUGCUUUAUUUUACUUAGCCAGUGGGGAAUGUCCAUCCCCCUCACUUCCCUUUUACUGGUGAUCUCUUUCACUGCUCAGGCACACUCAUUUUCAGAAUUAUUUUCUGAUAUUUUCCCAGACAGCUCUGCAGGAUGAUUAUUCACACCGUCCCAGUGAUGGACUUCAGUAUAGAGUAGCAGUGACUCAACCAUCCUCAUUACUGAAGAAGGCAUAUAAGAUCUUGGUCAGUGAUGGGGGACCUGUUGGAAGCACAGCAUCUUCUGUGUCCCUGCUCUAUGAGCUUGUGAAGACAUACCUUCUGCUAACACAGGUGAAGGGGUACACACGUGAGGGCAUCGUGCUUAUAUGUGUGCUUGUGUAAAGCAUCAGUGGAG